rnacentral:rRNA from 1 species
AUACGGAGGAUGCGAGCGUUAUCCGGAUUUAUUGGGUUUAAAGGGAGCGUAGGUGGACAGUUAAGUCAGUUGUGAAAGUUUGCGGCUCAACCGUAAAAUUGCAGUUGAUACUGGCUGUCUUGAGUACAGUAGAGGUGGGCGGAAUUCGUGGUGUAGCGGUGAAAUGCUUAGAUAUCACGAAGAACUCCGAUUGCGAAGGCAGCUCACUGGACUGCAACUGACACUGAUGCUCGAAAGUGUGGGUAUCAAACAGGAUUAGAUACCCUGGUAGUCCACACAGUAAACGAUGAAUACUCGCUGUUUGCGAUAUACAGUAAGCGGCCAAGCGAAAGCAUUAAGUAUUCCACCUGGGGAGUACGCCGGCAACGGUGAAACUCAAAGGAAUUGACGGGG